CUUGACACCCAUAAGAGGUCCAGCCUGCCCAGUGACUCUGUUCAACGGCCGCGGUAUCCUAACCGUGCGAAGGUAGCGUAAUCACUUGUUCUUUAAAUGGGGACUAGUAUGAAUGGCACCACGAAGGUUAUACUGUCUCCUUUUUCUAAUCAGUGAAACUAAUCUUCCCGUGAAGAAGCGGGAAUAAAAAUAUAAGACGAGAAGACCCUAUGGAGCUUUAAACAAACAUACAAUUGCCUUCUUUUAUGAAUAUUUCAGAAGAAAACUUUUAUUUAGGCAUUUUGAUAUAGAGUUUUAGGUUGGGGUGACCACGGAGUAAAAAACAACCUCCGCAAUGAAAGGGGCUCUUCCCCUAAGCUAAGGAUUACAACCCUAAGAAUCAAAAAAUUGACACCAAUUGACCCAAUAUACUUGAUCAAUGAAC
rnacentral:rRNA from 1 species